UCCCCUCCCCUUCCCUCCGCUCUCCUCGCCUCCUGUUCCAGCCUCUAGCUCUCCUGCUCGCCUUCCCCAGGACCACAGCCAGUCCACAUGCUUUUCGUGGGUGUUAGACAAGCGCCCCACUCUGGGCACACACAGCUCUGGUUGUAGCCUUUGGAUCUGGGGCAGCUGGCUCCAGGAAGAGGCCAGAGUUCUGCUGGUGACACCAGAUGGCCACAGGCACGUGAAAAGCUGCUCAACAUCACUAACUAUUAGAGAAAUGCAAGUCACAGCCACUGCGAGGGACCACCUCACACCGGUCAAAACGGCCAUCAUCCAAAAGCCCACAAAGGAUAAAUGCUGGGGAGGGUGUGGAGAAAGGGAGCCCUCCUGCACUGCUGCUGGGAACGUGCAUCGGUGCAGCCACUGUGGAGGAUGGUCUGGGAGUUCCUGAAGAACCUGGAAGUGGAGCGCCCCUGGGACCCAGCAGUCCCGCUCCCGGCCUGUGUGUGGGGAGCAGCCCCACGCCCCGCCACUGCUUUCCUCCCAAGCCCCGCUCUCUCCCCAGCUCAUGGACGGCAGGAGCCCUUUUGCCAAAACCCGAGAGGGACCUUCCGCACCCUGGCCCCCCAGCCCCCCUCCGCGGCCGGCAGCUCAUCUUCGUCCCCGGUUUUCUGAACCGAGGACCGUGAAGACAAGCGAAGACCGCAGAAGGGAAGGCCAGGAGAGAGGGUCUGUGGAAGGGGAAGGGAGGGGCGUGUGAUACGGAGGACGGAGGGCCCUCCCCCGAGGCUGGGGGCGACAUGCAGGACCUCCCCCUGCAGGGGCUCAUGGGGCCAAGGUGAGGCUGGGCUCUAACGUGGGGAGGGGAGGGGGCACCCGGGGAUGGAGGAGGAAGCACACUAAACAAACAAGCGUCUCUGAUUCCUCGUCCGGGAGGCCCUGUCCCGCGGCCACACGCCUUCCUCUGACCUCUGUCUGGCAGCCCUCUAACCACAGGUGUGUCAGCGUAUCAGCUUAAAAUUGUUUGCCGUACACCAGGCUGGGGAGAAAGCCUUCAUUCACCUGAGCCCCCCCAGCCACCUUCUUCCGGGACACCCAGCAACCCUGGAAGUGGCGGGCGGAGCCCUGGGGCAGGUGCCUGCCUGCGGACUGGUGCGCUUUUCUGCAGGAAGAACGUGCGGCUUGCAGCUGCCUCCAGAAGAAUCGUGGGGGCCACAUGCCCAGGUGCAGGGGCUGCGUGGGAAGCCGCCUGGAUGGCUGAGUCACUGAAGGGAAGACUGUUUCACAAGGUCAUGUGUUAAUAGAACAUACGAGGGGUUAUCUAACCUUGGAAGGGGCAGUCCUUCCAAGGUCAACAAAGUCCCAGCUGUGACGGCAUCAGAACACGAAAUAAAGGACGUGGAGAACACAAAGCCCCAGCUGUGACAGCAUCGGAACAGAAAAUAAAGGACACGGAGAACACAAAGCCAACUCACACUGGUCUUUGUAAGAGGGGUUUAACUGCACGACGUUAGGCCAUGGAGAUUUGGGGUGGAUGUACCGUGUCAGGGCACUGCUGUAGGAACACAAGGAGAAGCCGGGGAAGAUGGCUGUGGAGCUGAGUCUCAGCACCAGCACGACAUCUGUGAAGUUCGUUCCUUUGCGCAUUCAUUCGUACAUUGAGCCAAUGGUCACUGCACACCAGCUGUGUGUUGGGCCCAGUGCUGGGUCUGGAUUCACAGUGGUCAAACACUAGCCCCGCCCUCAGUGGAACUCUCAGUCUUAUGAGAAAGUGAGACCUCAAAGGAGAGGGUGAUAGAAGGUGAAGCCUGCCAUGAAGAGGCUGGGUCUGCAGAGGAGUCAGGGAGGGCUUCUCAGAGGAGGUGACGUUUGAGUUGGGUCUUGAUGGAGUUAUAUGAGUUCCCCUGCAGAAGCCUUGGGCAUGAAUGGUCUAGGUGGUCUAGGAAAAGCAUAGACAAGGCACAUCUGGGCUUUGCAAAGAGUUCAGUGAGGCAAAAAAAGACCCCACUUUAAAAAUGGGCAAAGGACCUGAAUAGCUUUUUUUCCCAAGAAGACCUACAAAUGGCCAAGACGUAUAUGAGAAGAUGCUCAACAUCACUAACCAUCAGGGAAGUGCCAAUCAAACCUGCAAUGAGUCAUCACCACACACCUGGUAGGAUGACGUAUCAAAAAGGCAGGAAAUAACAGGUGUUGGCCAGGAUGUGGAGAAAAGCGAGCCCUUGUGUUCUGUUGAUGAGAAUGAAAGUUGGUGCAGUCAUUAUGGAGAACGGUAUGGAGGUCCCUCAGGAAAUUCAGAACUACCCACAAUGAUCCCACAGUGUGCUCCCACAACCCCACUUCCGGGUACACACACCGAAAGGAAGUGAAAUUAGCAUCUUGAAGCGGUAUCUGCACUGCCGUGUUCAUUGCAGCAUUAUUUACACAGUUGCCAAGAUAUGGAAACACACUGUGUCCGUGGAGAGAUAAAUGGAUUAAGAAAAGGUGGACUAUUAUUUAGCCUUUAAAAAGAAGGGAAUCCUGCCAUCUGUGGCAAUGUAGAGGGACCCAGAGGGCACCAUGCUGAGUGGGAGAAAUAAGCCAGACAGAGAAAGACAAAUACUGCUGGGUCUCACUUACAUGUAGACUCUGAAGAAAUCAAGCUCAUAGAAUCCGACAGUAGAACGUGGUUACCAUGGGAAGUGGGGGAAGUUGGCCAAAAAGUACAAUCUUCUAGUUAUAAGAUAAGUAAGUUCUGUGGCUUUAAUGUACAGCAUGGUGACAACAGUUAAUCAUACUGUAUUGUAUACUUGAAAGUUGCUAAGAGAAUAGAUUUUAAGUGUUCUCACCACAUGUACACACAGAAUGGCGCCCAUGUGAGGUGAUGGAUGUGUUAACUACAUUGUGGUAAUCACUUCACCUUGUGUACACAUAUUAAAUGAUUGCACUGUACACCUUUUAAAAAUCACAGUGUACAACCUAACUAUA